GGGAAAGGCAGCCGGGCUGAGUCUCUCGGCCCCGGAGCGCGGAGCCACUCGGAGCCGGGGCGGUGGCGGUGGCGGUGGCGCGGUCAGGCAGCCCCUCUGAGACAUCUCCUGCAGGGUGUGAGCACCCAGAAGUAGCUACAAGGGGUUGCACAAGGUAAAAUUUGGAUUUAUUUUGGUUCCCCCCAAGCUGUCUCUUGAAAACUGAAUUUUCUCAGCACUGGCUGCCCAGGAGGAUGCUCCAGGUGCCCAUGGAGGGGUUCAAGCUUCACCAGGAUGUGCUGGACAGGGAGAAGAACACUCAGAAAGUGAGGUUUUUGGGUUUUUUUCCCCAGGAAUUGUUUUGUUCUGGGUUGUUUUUUACCUGGGAAGCAGACACAUUGAAAGGCAUCAGCUCAUUUGCCAUGGCA